GAUGAACGCUGGCGGCGUGCUUAACACAUGCAAGUCGAACGGGAAAUAUUUCAUUGAGACUUCGGUGGAUUUGAUUUAUUUCUAGUGGCGGACGGGUGAGUAACGCGUGGGUAACCUGCCUUAUACAGGGGGAUAACAGUCAGAAAUGGCUGCUAAUACCGCAUAAGCGCACAGAGCUGCAUGGCUCAGUGUGAAAAACUCCGGUGGUAUAAGAUGGACCCGCGUUGGAUUAGCUAGUUGGUGGGGUAACGGCCCACCAAGGCGACGAUCCAUAGCCGGCCUGAGAGGGUGAACGGCCACAUUGGGACUGAGGCACGGCCCAGACUCCUACGGGAGGCAGCAGUGGGGAAUAUUGCACAAUGGGGGAAACCCUGAUGCAGCGACGCCGCGUGAAGGAAGAAGUAUCUCGGUAUGUAAACUUCUAUCAGCAGGGAAGAUAGUGACGGUACCUGACUAAGAAGCCCCGGCUAACUACGUG
rnacentral:rRNA from 1 species